UUCAUCCUGUUAGUCAUUAUUCGGCACUCUCUUUCAUCACAGAGAUAAACAAGGUCUGCAUGUUAGAAGAACGCAAGCAGCGCACAACUCAAACUUUGUGAUCUUUACUUUUAUGUUCAAAUGGUUAAAGAUCAGUAAACAACAAGAAAAAACGAUUUGUUCUGUGGAAGUGUGUAAUUGACAUUAUUUUGAAAACACAAGAACACAUUGCAGGAACGCAAGUGUCGUCAAUUCGUCUUAAAGAGUUUAUUUUGUGUGUAAGAAAGCGAUAUUCGUUCAAAGACUGCGCGAGAGUAAGUAUAUGUUUCGUUUGGAAAAAGAACCAUGUUGCGUUGUAUUUUUAUCGAUAUAGCAUUUGUCUGGUUUAUAAGUAUCAUGCUUGCUAGCUUGUAUCAAGUAUCUUGUCUUUUUGCAUUCCCAAGAUGAAAUUUGCUUUAUUUAAACUGAAAUACGAGCUCAUCGUCACUAUGUUUCCUGCAGGGAAAUGCAUCACUAGAAAUUGUAUUUUGGCAGAUUUGAAUGCUCUGCGUGCAGUAUGAAUAAUCUAUUUACAGUUUUGCUGUGAUUAAGUAAAUUCAUGAUAUUUAUCACUGUGAGACGUCUGUCUUGAUUCCUUGCAUAACUUUUCACAAUUGCACCAACUAAGAAAUAUCUUAAGCAAUAAAUAUCUGUGUUGUC